CAGUUUAUCUUGUAGUGUCCUUGAUGAAUGAGAACAGUAGCGUUCUAGCGGAUUUACCCCUUAUUUAUAUGGAAGUAUAAGAGCUCAGCGCAAUGAGAGUCCCCAUGGAGAUACACGGGUUCAAGAUCUGUCCCAGCAAUAGCAGGCGACGACAGAGGGCUCUGUUUCAAUAUGUUUUGUACAGGAAAUCACAGCUUUGGUGUGCUGAAGCUGGAACUGGUCCUCUGAAGACAGUGUCUGCAAUGAAGCUGAGUCCUCUCUCUCUCCCAGGCCGUAGUGUCUACCUCUAAUUUAUUCCUGAUGAAUGACAGCAAGUUCACAGACUCAGGUACUUUUUCCUUCUUUCAUUUCUCAAAGCUGCCUUCUCUUUGUGUUUGUCUUAAGGUUCUGUUUGGGCAUGCAAUGGAGGCCU